rnacentral:rRNA from 1 species
AUACGUAGGUGGCAAGCGUUAUCCGGAUUUAUUGGGCGUAAAGCGAGCGCAGGCGGUUUUUUAAGUCUGAUGUGAAAGCCCUCGGCUUAACCGAGGAAGUGCAUCGGAAACUGGGAAACUUGAAUGCUGAAGAGGACAGUGGAACUCCAUGUGUAGCGGUGAAAUGCGUAGAUAUAUGGAAGAACACCAGUGGCGAAGGCGGCUGUCUGGUCAGUUAUUGACGCUGAGGCUCGAAAGCAUGGGUAGCGAACAGGAUUAGAUACCCUGGUAGUCCAUGCCGUAAACGAUGAAUACUAGGUGUUGGAGGGUUUCCGCCCUUCAGUGCCGCAGCUAACGCAUUAAGUAUUCCGCCUGGGGAGUACGACCGCAAGGUUGAA